UUUUGUUAUAUAUAUUAUAAUUUGGGUGCGCUUAUUUAUUUUGGCCAAUUGUGAGAAGUCGUUGACGAGUUGUCCAUAUCAAAGAGGGGGGCGGAUUACGUUCACCGUUCACCGUUAGGCGCCAGCACCUGUGUCGAGGAUAAGCAUCUAAUUUUCACUUUUACUUUCUCCCUCAGCUAGUUCCUGGAACUUGUCAACUGUUAGAGCUGUGGUACCUGCUGCACGUGCAAUUCCUGCUGCACUUGUUGUCUGUGCUCGACGGUUUCUUGGGAAAGCCGGAAAAACUGUUUGGACAACUGAAAUUACGUGGGCUGCUGUUGCUGCUGACCUCUUGAAGUCUCUAUUAGAGGCUGACUGAGUUAGUAGCCGGAAGCAAUGAAAAUGUGUGGAAAGUGUUGUUCCUGCCUCGAAUUUACAGCGAACAAGUGUUAAGGAUGUGCGUGACAGUCAUUAUGUGGGAUAUGAAGAUAACGUCACGUAGCAAACCCUCUGCCUGGGUUCCAAUAAGGACAUAUAUAGGAGAGAGAAUAAUACGAUUGUAUUGUACAGUUAGAUGCGAACAAUGCCAACAAUUUACGGAAACUUCAUAUCAA